UAGUAUAGCAUCUAUACGGUGAAACUGCGAAUGGCUCAUUAAAUCAGUUAUCGUUUAUUUGAUAGUACCUUACUACAUGGAUAACCGUGGUAAUUCUAGAGCUAAUACAUGCUAAAAACCCCGACUUCGGAAGGGGUGUAUUUAUUAGAUAAAAAACCAAUGCCCUUCGGGGCUCCUUGGUGAUUCAUAAUAACUUAACGAAUCGCAUGGCCUUGCGCCGGCGAUGGUUCAUUCAAAUUUCUGCCCUAUCAACUUUCGAUGGUAGGAUAGUGGCCUACCAUGGUUUCAACGGGUAACGGGGAAUUAGGGUUCUAUUCCGGAGAGGGAGCCUGAGAAACGGCUACCACAUCCAAGGAAGGCAGCAGGCGCGCAAAUUACCCAAUCCCGACACGGGGAGGUAGUGACAAUAAAUACUGAUACAGGGCUCUUUUGGGUCUUGUAAUUGGAAUGAGUACAAUUUAAAUCCCUUAACGAGGAACAAUUGGAGGGCAAGUCUGGUGCCAGCAGCCGCGGUAAUUCCAGCUCCAAUAGCGUAUAUUAAAGUUGUUGCAGUUAAAAAGCUCGUAGUUGAACCUUGGGCCUGGCUGGCCGGUCCGCCUCACCGCGUGCACUGGUCCGGCCGGGCCUUUCCUCCUGGGGAGCCGCAUGCCCUUCACUGGGUGUGUCGGGGAACCAGGACUUUUACUUUGAAAAAAUUAGAGUGUUCAAAGCAGGCCUAUGCUCGAAUACAUUAGCAUGGAAUAAUAGAAUAGGACGUGUGGUUCUAUUUUGUUGGUUUCUAGGACCGCCGUAAUGAUUAAUAGGGAUAGUCGGGGGCAUCAGUAUUCAAUUGUCAGAGGUGAAAUUCUUGGAUUUAUUGAAGACUAACUACUGCGAAAGCAUUUGCCAAGGAUGUUUUCAUUAAUCAGUGAACGAAAGUUAGGGGAUCGAAGACGAUCAGAUACCGUCGUAGUCUUAACCAUAACUAUGCCGACUAGGGAUCGGGCGAUGUUAU
rnacentral:rRNA from 1 species